rnacentral:rRNA from 1 species
GACGAACGCUGGCGGCGUGCUUAACACAUGCAAGUCGAACGGAAAGGCCCUGCUUUUGUGGGGUGCUCGAGUGGCGAACGGGUGAGUAACACGUGAGUAACCUGCCCUUGACUUUGGGAUAACUUCAGGAAACUGGGGCUAAUACCGGAUAGGAGCUCCUGCUGCAUGGUGGGGGUUGGAAAGUUUCGGCGGUUGGGGAUGGACUCGCGGCUUAUCAGCUUGUUGGUGGGGUAGUGGCUUACCAAGGCUUUGACGGGUAGCCGGCCUGAGAGGGUGACCGGCCACAUUGGGACUGAGAUACGGCCCAGACUCCUACGGGAGGCAGCAGUGGGGAAUAUUGCACAAUGGGCGGAAGCCUGAUGCAGCAACGCCGCGUGCGGGAUGACGGCCUUCGGGCUGUAAACCGCUUUCGCCUGUGACGAAGCGUGAGUGACGGUAAGGGGUAAAGAAGCACCGGCUAACUACG